rnacentral:rRNA from 1 species
UACGUAGGGGGCAAGCGUUGCUCGGAAUUACUGGGCGUAAAGCGCGCGUAGGCGGCUCUUCAAGUCUGACGUGAAAGCCCCGGGCUUAACUCGGGAACUGCGCUUGAUACUGUCGAGCUAGAGUGUGGAAGGGGCGAUUGGAAUUCCGUGUGUAGCGGUGAAAUGCGUAGAUAUACGGAGGAACACCAGAGGCGAAGGCGAAUCGCUGGGCCAACACUGACGCUGAUGUGCGAAAGCGAGGGGAGCAAACAGG